GAUGAACGCUGGCGGCGUGCCUAAUACAUGCAAGUCGAGCGAACAGACGAGGAUCUUGCUCCUCUGACGUUAGCGGCGGACGGGUGAGUAACACGUGGAUAACCUACCUAUAAGACUGGGAUAACUUCGGGAAACCGGAUCUAAUACCGGAUAAUAUAUUGAACCGCAUGGUUCAAUAGUGAAAGACGGUUUUGCUGUCACUUAUCGAUGGAUCCGCGCCGCAUUAGCUAGUUGGUAAGGUAACGGCUUACCAAGGCAACGAUGCGUAGCCGACCUGAGAGGGGGAUAGGCCACACUGGAAAUGAGACACGGUCCAGACUCCUACGGGAGGCAGCAGUAGGGAAUCUUCCGCAAUGGGCGAAAGCCUGACGGAGCAACGCCGCGUGAGUGAUGAAGGUCUUCGGAUCGUAAAACUCUGUUAUUAGGGAAGAACAAAUGUGUAAGUAACUAUGCACGUCUUGACGGUACCUAAUCAGAAAGCCACGGCUAACUACGUG
rnacentral:rRNA from 1 species